GAUUACUGGCUCAGGAUGAACGCUGGCGGCGUGCUUCAUACAUGCAAGUCGAACGAGAAUUGGUAGCUUGCUACCAAGGAAAGUGGCGGACGGGUGAGUAAUACAUAGGGAAUCUGCCCUUAGCCGGGGGACAACAGUUGGAAACGACUGCUAAUACCGCAUAUGAGUAUGGUUGAGAUACUAUACUUGAAAACUCCGGUGGCUAAGGAUGAGCCUGUGCCUGAUUAGUUAGUUGGCGGGGUAAAGGCCCACCAAGGCGACGAUCAGUAGCUGGUUUGAGAGGAUGAUCAGCCACAAUGGGACUGAGACACGGCCCAUACUCCUACGGGAGGCAGCAGUAGGGAAUUUUGCGCAAUGGGCGAAAGCCUGACGCAGCAACGCCGCGUGUGUGAUGAAGCCCCUAGGGGUGUAAAACACUGUCAGUGGGGACGAAAGAUGACGGUACCCACAGAGGAAGCACCGGCUAACUCCGUGCCAGCCGCUGC
rnacentral:rRNA from 1 species